GGACUACCGGGGUUUCUAAUCCCGUUUGCUCCCCUAGCCUUCGUGCCUCAGCGUCAGAUGCUGUCCAGGACUUCGCUUUCGCUGCGAGCGUUCUUCUCGAAAUCUACGCAUUUCACUGCUACACCGAGAAUUCCAAGUCCCUCUCCAGAUCUCUAGCGAAGCAGUAUCAGAUGCAAGUUGGAGGUUGAGCCUCCAAAUUUCACAUCCGACUUACUCCGCAGCCUACGCACCCUUUACGCCCAGUGAUUCCGAACAACGCUUGAGACCUCUGUAUUACCGCGGCUGCUGGCAC
rnacentral:rRNA from 1 species